rnacentral:tRNA from 1 species
CAGGGUGUAGCGGAAUUGGCUAACGCGCUGGUUUUGGGUACCAGAAAUUGCGGGUUCAAGUCCCGCCACCCUGA